GAUGAACGCUGGCGGCGUGCCUAAUACAUGCAAGUCGAGCGAACAGACGAGGAGCUUGCUCCUCUGACGUUAGCGGCGGACGGGUGAGUAACACGUGGAUAACCUACCUAUAAGACUGGGAUAACUUCGGGAAACCGGAGCUAAUACCGGAUAAUAUAUUGAACCGCAUGGUUCAAUAGUGAAAGACGGUCUUGCUGUCACUUAUAGAUGGAUCCGCGCCGCAUUAGCUAGUUGGUAAGGUAACGGCUUACCAAGGCGACGAUGCGUAGCCGACCUGAGAGGGUGAUCGGCCACACUGGAACUGAGACACGGUCCAGACUCCUACGGGAGGCAGCAGUAGGGAAUCUUCCGCAAUGGGCGAAAGCCUGACGGAGCAACGCCGCGUGAGUGAUGAAGGUCUUCGGAUCGUAAAACUCUGUUAUUAGGGAAGAACAAAUGUGUAAGUAACUGUGCACGUCUUGACGGUACCUAAUCAGAAAGCCACGGCUAACUACGUG
rnacentral:rRNA from 1 species